rnacentral:rRNA from 1 species
GAUGAACGCUAGCUACAGGCUUAACACAUGCAAGUCGCGGGGCAGCAUGGGGGUUGCUUGCAAUCCCCGAUGGCGACCGGCGCACGGGUGAGUAACGCGUAUCCAACCUGCCCUUCACCACGGGAUAACCCGGCGAAAGUCGGACUAAUACCGUAUGGUGUCCAUUGACGGCAUCCGAUUUGGACGAAAGGUUUGGCGGUGAAGGAUGGGGAUGCGUCCGAUUAGCUGGACGGCGGGGUGACGGCCCACCGUGGCGACGAUCGGUAGGGGGUCUGAGAGGAAGGUCCCCCAUACUGGAACUGAGGCACGGUCCAGAAUCCUACGGGAGGCAGCAGUGAGGAAUAUUGGUCAAUGGGCGUAAGCCUGAACCAGCCAAGUAGCGUGCAGGAUGACGGCCCUAUGGGUUGUAAACUGCUUUUAUGCGGGGAUAAAGUGGCCCACGUGUGGGUUUUUGCAGGUACCGCAUGAAUAAGGACCGGCUAAUUCCGUG